rnacentral:rRNA from 1 species
UACGUAGGGGGCAAGCGUUGUCCGGAUUUAUUGGGCGUAAAGAGCGUGUAGGCGGCCAGGUAGGUCGGUUGUGAAAACUGGAGGCUCAACCUUCAGAGGUCGACCGAAACCAUCUGGCUAGAGUCCGGGAGAGGAGAGUGGAAUUCCUGGUGUAGCGGUGAAAUGCGCAGAUAAUCAGGAAGAACACCCGUGGCGAAAGCGGCUCUCUGGAACGGUACUGACGCUGAGACGCGAAAGCGUGGGGAGCGAACAGG